AAAAAAAGAACAAUCAAUGAAUUGUUGAGAACCAGAAAAUAUUUUACUUCUAUUUUAUGCAAGAAAGGUGUGAUGACGUGCUAAACAAACGUAUCUUGUGGAGUACCUAAAUCACAUCAGGCCGUGGGAGCAGAUCGAGAGUUGCAAUAUCACGACCUUGCUAUGAACAGAGGAUUUAGAUCACCUCAGUCUACGGUACGGUUUAAUCCAGAAUCUCAUCUCCAGAGUUUAGAAGAUUUGCCGUUAACGCAUUACACGCAUUUCAAAACCAAGUAUGCAGACGCCGGAGUCCGAUAUAAGCCGAUCUGUUACUCCCCUUCGACCGGGUAUCCGCAGACGUGCUUAUGAUGAGUGAUCACCGUCCCUCAUGUUGCUCAGCUCCUGGAGGCACAGCCGAGCCGCUGUCGAUAGAAUUGAAUACCGGAAUGCAAGGAAACGGCGGACGGAGCUGGUGGUGGGAACCAGUAUCAGCGUCCAUGAGUUCAGUAACCAGUAAUAACAGGAAUUCUUGAACCCAAAACAAACCACAGCAGAGACAAGACUAAGCACCUGUCGCCGAAGCUAGAUCAAAUAUAAAUAAGAACUCCUCGCCAUUAAAUGCAUGCUCUUCUUCUGCCUUGUCAAACUUGUUAUUUUGCAUAUUUUUUAUGUCUUUUCUGAGUUUCCAACUAUCUACUACUGGUUUUAAAUGAAUUAUCAAUAAAAAUAGCACCCUA